GCAGGAGUGUUUUAGGGAUAACAUCUAACAUUCCCAUUGUUAAGCUACGGGUUCGAGCCUCGUCUAUUGUA